rnacentral:rRNA from 1 species
GACGAACGCUGGCGGCGUGCCUAAUACAUGCAAGUAGAACGCUGAAGGAGGAGCUUGCUUCUCUGGAUGAGUUGCGAACGGGUGAGUAACGCGUAGGUAACCUGCCUGGUAGCGGGGGAUAACUAUUGGAAACGAUAGCUAAUACCGCAUAAGAGUAGAUGUUGCAUGACAUUUGCUUAAAAGGUGCAAUUGCAUCACUACCAGAUGGACCUGCGUUGUAUUAGCUAGUUGGUGGGGUAACGGCUCACCAAGGCGACGAUACAUAGCCGACCUGAGAGGGUGAUCGGCCACACUGGGACUGAGACACGGCCCAGACUCCUACGGGAGGCAGCAGUAGGGAAUCUUCGGCAAUGGACGGAAGUCUGACCGAGCAACGCCGCGUGAGUGAAGAAGGUUUUCGGAUCGUAAAGCUCUGUUGUAAGAGAAGAACGAGUGUGAGAGUGGAAAAGUUCACACUGUGACCGG